UACGGAGGGUGCAAGCGUUAUCCGGAUUCACUGGGUUUAAAGGGUGCGUAGGCGGGUAGGUAAGUCAGUGGUGAAAUCUUCGAGCUUAACUCGGAAACUGCCUUUGAUACUAUCUAUCUUGAAUAUUGUGGAGGUAAGCGGAAUAUGUCAUGUAGCGGUGAAAUGCUUAGAUAUGACAUAGAACACCUAUUGCGAAGGCAGCUUACUACGCAUAUAUUGACGCUGAGGCACGAAAGCGUGGGGAGUCAA
rnacentral:rRNA from 1 species